rnacentral:rRNA from 1 species
GGAGAGGGAGCCUGAGAAACGGCUACCACAUCCAAGGAAGGCAGCAGGCGCGCAAAUUACCCAAUCCCGAUACGGGGAGGUAGUGACAAUAAAUAACAAUACAGGGCUCUUAUGGGUCUUGUAAUUGGAAUGAGUACAAUUUAAAUCCCUUAACGAGGAACAAUUGGAGGGCAAGUCUGGUGCCAGCAGCCGCGGUAAUUCCAGCUCCAAUAGCGUAUAUUAAAGUUGUUGCAGUUAAAAAGCUCGUAGUUGAAUUUCGGGGUUCUACCGUUGGUCGGGCAAUAGUCUGUACUGGCGUGUGGAAUUUCUACCUUCUGGGGAACCAUCAUGUUAUUAAUUUAGCGUGGUGGGAAACCAGGACCUUUACCUUGAAAAAAUUAGAGUGUUCAAAGCAGGCUUACGUCUGAAUACAUUAGCAUGGAAUAAUAAAAUAGGACGGUGGUCCUGUUUUGUUGGUUUCUGAAUCACCGUAAUGAUUAAUAGGGAUAGUUGGGGGCAUUAGUAUUCAAUUGUCAGAGGUGAAAUUCUUGGAUUUAUUGAAGACUAACUUCUGCGAAAGCAUUUGCCAAGGAUGUUUUCAUUAAUCAAGAACGAAAGUUAGGGGAUCGAAGACGAUCAGAUACCGUCGUAGUCUUAACCAUAAACUAUGCCGACUAGGGAUCGGACGAUGUUAAUUUUUCUUGACUCGUUCGGCGCCUUAC